GAAAAUAAAAGCACCUGGUACAGGUUUCAUGAGAUCCAUUUGGAUUCGCUAUGUUCCAAACCUGCUGCUGAAUGGCACUUGUCUACUUCAUGUGUUGAACAGUCUGUGGCCUUGGAAUAGGUCUCAAUUUGAAGAACUGUUAUUGGAUGCCCCAGAGGUUGAUGGAAUAGCAGCUCCAGCAAGGCUACUUGUGGAGACUGACUUUCAAAUGUGAGGCAGCAAGUAGGCAUCACAGGUCAACUGCUGGACGUCAAUGUGCUCCUCCUUUCGGUAGGGCAAGCAUCGCCGGAUAAACGCCUUUGCUUCAGGUGUAAGGAUGGGCUUUGGUGGGAACUGCACUUCAGUAGCUUUAAGAAUAGUAUUCUCUUGUAGAAUGUCCUGCUGGGACUGGUUGUGGCCAAAAGGCUUUCUUCCAUAAAGACACUGGUAGAAGAUUACACCCACUGACCAGACAUCCACUUUAUUUGAGAUCUUCGUGGUUCUUUCCCAACCACAAAACACUCUGGUGCUAAAGCCAAAUUUGAAGAACUUGAUCUCUCCUGCUUACAGUGGUUAAAUUUUGGAAAUCUGGAAAUGAAGCUAUUGGAAUUUCAAGAAAGCUCCAUCUGAAAAAAUAAAUUCUAUGAACUGCAUGCAACACUUGAAAAGAGAGAGAAGAUAGAGUGUGAAGGGAUGACAAAGGAUAACACAGUUGAUUAAUUUUUGCCUUUAUAGAAGUUUUAUGUACAAGUCAUGCUGCCCUUAGCUGCAAUAUUGUGCUGCCAUCCAAGAUGUCACAGCAUCACAGAAUCAUUGAGACCUCUGCUGUGACCAGUGGUGUGAGUUCUUCCUUUCCCACACACCAACUUCUGGCUCUUCAGGCAAGCCACUGUGAGCUAAUAGGCAGACUCAGACUUUUAAUAUGAAAAGCCAAUUUAUGAAUUUGUAGCUCUCUCAGGGCAGUCUCGAUUACAAUUAAAGCAGUUGGGAUUGCUUUUCUUAUUUUGUUGGGAUCAUCUUAUGCUUGUGAACAUUUCUUUGAAUUAUAUAAAAUAUGAUACAAGAACAGACAGAUGACCUGAGUGCUACAUGUGUUGCUCUCAAAUUAAUGAAGUAUGAGCCAAGGUUUGACAAAUUAUCUGCAUGAAUACAACAGCAGUGAUUACAUUGAUAGUGCAAAAAUACACCAAAUACAAACUUUUACCUUCC
ensembl:lncRNA